UCCUUUAACGAGGAACAACUGGAGGGCAAGUCUGGUGCCAGCAGCCGCGGUAACUCCAGCUCCAGAAGCGUAUAUUAAAGUUGUUGCAGUUAAAAAGCUCGUAGUUGGAUCUGGGUCGCAUGGCUCCGUACCGUCGCUUGUGUUCUCGGCUCUCGGGUCGAUUCACGAGUCGGUUGCGUAGCUGUGUAGCCUUUCUGCCGUGUCUGUAUUAACAGGUGUCGAUGGUUCGCCCGUUGGCAUGCUUCCAGAUGCCUUUAACCGGGUGUCGGGAGCGGACGGCACGUUUACUUUGAACAAAUUUGAGUGCUCAAAGCAGGCUUUUGCCUGAAAAUUCUUGCAUGGAAUAAUGGAAUAGGACUUCGGUUCUAUUUUGUUGGUUUUCGGAUCCGAAGUAAUGGUUAAGAGGGACAGACGGGGGCAUUUGUAUGGCGGUGUUAGAGGUGAA
rnacentral:rRNA from 1 species